rnacentral:rRNA from 1 species
GGGCAAUCCGCAGCCAAGCCCCUAACUCCAGGCCCGCCUGGACACGGGGAAGGUUCACAGACUAAGUGGAAAGUGGGUGCGGCCGCUCGGCCGUGCUUAAGAUAUAGUCGGGCCCUCAGCGAAAGCUGGAGGGUAAGUCACUGCAAAAUGGCGAUCAACCGUUCCGGUAGGUGAACCUGCGGAAGGAUCAUUAACGAGUUGAUUCGAGCUCCGGCUCGACUCUCCAACCCUUUGUGUACCUACCUCUGUUGCUUUGGCGGGCCCGCGGUUCGGCCUCGUGCCGUCCAGCACCCGCCAAGAGGACCACAAAACUCCAGUCAGUGAACGUCUCAGUCUGAAAAACAAGUUAAUAAACUAAAACUUUCAACAACGGAUCUCUUGGUUCUGGCAUCGAUGAAGAACGCAGCGAAAUGCGAUAAGUAAUGUGAAUUGCAGAAUUCAGUGAAUCAUCGAAUCUUAGAACGCACAUUGCGCCCCUUGGUAUUCCGGGGGGCAUGCCUGUUCGAGCGUCAUUUCAACCCUCAAGCUCUGCUUGGUAUUGGGCUCCGUCCUCUGGGACGCGCCUCAAAGACCUCGGCGGUGGCGUCUUGCCUCAAGCGUAGUAGAAAACACCUCGCUUUGGAGCGCACGGCGUCGCCCGCCGGACGAACC